rnacentral:rRNA from 1 species
GACAUAGGUGGCGAACGUUAUCCGGAAUUAUUGGGCGUAAAGGGCUCGUAGGCGGUUUGUCGCGUCGGGAGUGAAAACACCGGGCUUAACUCGGUGCUUGCUUUCGAUACGGGCAGACUAGAGGCAUGCAGGGGAGAAUGGAAUUCCUGGUGUAGCGGUGAAAUGCGCAGAUAUCGGGAAGAACACCCGUGGCGAAGGCGGCUCUCUGGGACGGUACUGACGCUGAGACGCGAAAGCGUGGG